rnacentral:rRNA from 1 species
UACGGGGGGGGCAAGCGUUGUUCGGAAUUACUGGGCGUAAAGGGCGCGUAGGCGGUUCGCUAAGUUGAAUGUGAAAACUCUGGGCUUAACCCAGAGCCUGCAUUCAAUACUGGCGGGCUAGAGUUCUGGAGGGGAUAGCGGAAUUCCAGGUGUAGCGGUGAAAUGCGUAGAUAUCUGGAGGAACACCGGUGGCGAAGGCGGCAUCCUGGACCAACACUGACGCUGAGGAGCGAAAGCCAGGGGAGCAAACGGG